UACAGAGGGGGCAAGCGUUGCUCGGAAUUAUUGGGCGUAAAGCGCACGUAGGCGGUUUGUUAAGUCGGAUGUGAAAUCCCUCGGCUCAACUGAGGAAGUGCAUCCGAAACUGGCAGGCUUGAGUACUAAAGAGGGUCGCGGAAUUCCCGGUGUAGAGGUGAAAUUCGUAGAUAUCGGGAGGAACACCGGGUGGCGAAGGCGGCGACCUGGGUAGAUACGUGACGCUGAGGUGCGAAAGCGUGGGGAGCAAACAGG
rnacentral:rRNA from 1 species